CCCCCAACCCCCCACCCCCUUUAGAGUUUUGAUUCUGGCUCAGGACGAACGCUGGCGGCGUGCUUAACACAUGCAAGUCGAACGAUGAACCGCUUUCGGGCGGGGAUUAGUGGCGAACCGGGUGAGUAACACGUGGGCAAUCUGCCCUGCACUCUGGGACAAGCCCUGGAAACGGGGUCUAAUACCGGAUAUGACCGUCUGCCGCAUGGUGGAUGGUGUAAAGCUCCGGCGGUGCAGGAUGAGCCCGCGGCCUAUCAGCUUGUUGGUGAGGUAGUGGCUCACCAAGGCGACGACGGGUAGCCGGCCUGAGAGGGCGACCGGCCACACUGGGACUGAGACACGGCCCAGACUCCUACGGGAGGCAGCAGUGGGGAAUAUUGCACAAUGGGCGAAAGCCUGAUGCAGCGACGCCGCGUGAGGGAUGACGGCCUUCGGGUUGUAAACCUCUUUCAGCAGGGAAGAAGCGAAAGUGACGGUACCUGCAGAAGAAGCGCCGGCUAACUACGUGCCAGCAGCCGCGGUAAUACGUAGGGCGCAAGCGUUGUCCGGAAUUAUUGGGCGUAAAGAGCUCGUAGGCGGCUUGUCACGUCGGUUGUGAAAGCCCGGGGCUUAACCCCGGGUCUGCAGUCGAUACGGGCAGGCUAGAGUUCGGUAGGGGAGAUCGGAAUUCCUGGUGUAGCGGUGAAAUGCGCAGAUAUCAGGAGGAACACCGGUGGCGAAGGCGGAUCUCUGGGCCGAUACUGACGCUGAGGAGCGAAAGCGUGGGGAGCGAACAGGAUUAGAUACCCUGGUAGUCCACGCCGUAAACGGUGGGCACUAGGUGUGGGCAACAUUCCACGUUGUCCGUGCCGCAGCUAACGCAUUAAGUGCCCCGCAUGGGAGACGCCCAACUGGUU
rnacentral:rRNA from 1 species